GCCUCUGAAGCAGCUCUCUUCCUCACAAACGGCAGGGGCCACCCUGGUGACCCUCAGUCCAGCUUCCUCCUGCCUUGACACACACACACACACACACACACACACACACACACACACACACACACACACACACACGUGGUCUGUCCCAGGAUGUCUUGAGGGUCCACCAUAUAAAGCAUCUUUUUCCCACAGCUCUGGGAAUUGUCAGCCACAAGGGGCAAGAGUCUCAGUCAGCUUCAAUUUGUUCCACGUGACUAUCCUCGGAACUCACCGGUGGUCCAGUAAAUCCCGGAGGACCGACAGGUCCCUGGAGUCCUGGCAACCCUGGUGAGCCCUGUGAUUGGAUGAGAAGAGAAAGGAUUACCUACUGCAGGCCCCCCAGGGAGUGACUCCAGGGAAGAAGCAGCAAGGCGCUUACCGGCGCCCCAGGGAUACCAGGAAAUCCUCUCUCUCCUUUCAGCAGGGUCCCAGGAACAUGGCCGAGAAUUUCACCGGGAUCUCCCUAGGGGACACAAGAAGGAGAGAAGAUGCAAACUCUUCUUAUUUCUUCCACUGGCCCAGAGCUCACCAAGGCUGACUGGCCAAUGAACUACCUCAGCGGUCUGUGGCAGAAUCACACCCUGAAUACCUCACAUGGCUCAUGGUGUGAUGGGAGAUAUACACACAAGGCUCUGAAACCUAGGUGUCUCUGUGAUUUACACAGCCUUUCACAGAACCAAGUUUAGGACAUUUGUUUCUGGUGUUUUCAACCGAUUUCUUAUGAGGAACCCAAGGGGAUUAAACCAAAAUUAAAUUUAUUUAAACAU